GCCGCUGUAGCUCAGUAGGUAGAGCGCAUCCUUGGUAAGGAUGAGGUCACCGGUUCAAAUCCGGUCAGUGGCUCCA
rnacentral:tRNA from 1 species